AAUUGAAGAGUUUGAUCAUGGCUCAGAUUGAACGCUGGCGGCAGGCCUAACACAUGCAAGUCGAACGGUAACAGGAAGCAGCUUGCUGCUUCGCUGACGAGUGGCGGACGGGUGAGUAAUGUCUGGGAAACUGCCUGAUGGAGGGGGAUAACUACUGGAAACGGUAGCUAAUACCGCAUAAUGUCGCAAGACCAAAGAGGGGGACCUUCGGGCCUCUUGCCAUCGGAUGUGCCCAGAUGGGAUUAGCUUGUUGGUGGGGUAACGGCUCACCAAGGCGACGAUCCCUAGCUGGUCUGAGAGGAUGACCAGCCACACUGGAACUGAGACACGGUCCAGACUCCUACGGGAGGCAGCAGUGGGGAAUAUUGCACAAUGGGCGCAAGCCUGAUGCAGCCAUGCCGCGUGUAUGAAGAAGGCCUUCGGGUUGUAAAGUACUUUCAGCGGGGAGGAAGGGAGUAAAGUUAAUACCUUUGCUCAUUGACGUUACCCGCAGAAGAAGCACCGGCUAACUCCGUGCCAGCAGCCGCGGUAAUACGGAGGGUGCAAGCGUUAAUCGGAAUUACUGGGCGUAAAGCGCACGCAGGCGGUUUGUUAAGUCAGAUGUGAAAUCCCCGGGCUCAACCUGGGAACUGCAUCUGAUACUGGCAAGCUUGAGUCUCGUAGAGGGGGGUAGAAUUCCAGGUGUAGCGGUGAAAUGCGUAGAGAUCUGGAGGAAUACCGGUGGCGAAGGCGGCCCCCUGGACGAAGACUGACGCUCAGGUGCGAAAGCGUGGGGAGCAAACAGGAUUAGAUACCCUGGUAGUCCACGCCGUAAACGAUGUCGACUUGGAGGUUGUGCCCUUGAGGCGUGGCUUCCGGAGCUAACGCGUUAAGUCGACCGCCUGGGGAGUACGGCCGCAAGGUUAAAACUCAAAUGAAUUGACGGGGGCCCGCACAAGCGGUGGAGCAUGUGGUUUAAUUCGAUGCAACGCGAAGAACCUUACCUGGUCUUGACAUCCACGGAAGUUUUCAGAGAUGAGAAUGUGCCUUCGGGAACCGUGAGACAGGUGCUGCAUGGCUGUCGUCAGCUCGUGUUGUGAAAUGUUGGGUUAAGUCCCGCAACGAGCGCAACCCUUAUCCUUUGUUGCCAGCGGUCCGGCCGGGAACUCAAAGGAGACUGCCAGUGAUAAACUGGAGGAAGGUGGGGAUGACGUCAAGUCAUCAUGGCCCUUACGACCAGGGCUACACACGUGCUACAAUGGCGCAUACAAAGAGAAGCGACCUCGCGAGAGCAAGCGGACCUCAUAAAGUGCGUCGUAGUCCGGAUUGGAGUCUGCAACUCGACUCCAUGAAGUCGGAAUCGCUAGUAAUCGUGGAUCAGAAUGCCACGGUGAAUACGUUCCCGGGCCUUGUACACACCGCCCGUCACACCAUGGGAGUGGGUUGCAAAAGAAGUAGGUAGCUUAACCUUCGGGAGGGCGCUUACCACUUUGUGAUUCAUGACUGGGGUGAAGUCGUAACAAGGUAACCGUAGGGGAACCUGCGGUUGGAUCACCUCCUUA
rnacentral:rRNA from 1 species